rnacentral:rRNA from 1 species
UAGACCCGAAACCGGGUGAUCUAUCCAUGAGCAGGUUGAAGCAAGGGUAAAGCCUUGUGGAGGACCGAACCAGUUCUGGCUGAAAACAGUUUGGAUGACUUGUGGAUAGGGGUGAAAGGCCAAUCAAACCCGGUGAUAGCUGGUUCUCCCCGAAAUAUAUUGAGGUAUAGCCUUGCGGAUUGUCUUAUGGAGGUAAAGCUCUGACAGAACUAGGGGUCCUAUCCGACUACCGAAUUCUUUCAAACUCUGAAUACCAUUAAGAUUUACCGCAGGAGUCAGACGGCGGGUGCUAAGGUUCGUCGUCAAAAGGGCAACAGCCCAGACCGACAGCUAAGGCCUCCAAAUGCAUGCUCAGUGGUUAAGGUGGUGGCGUUGUGUAGACACCCAGGACGUUGGCUUAGAAGCAGCCAUCGUUUAAAGAAAGCGUAAUAGCUCACUGGUUCAAUGGCGCUGCGCCGAAAAUGUAACGGGGCUAAGCAUGCUGCCGAAGCUUCGGAUUUGUCUCUGACAACUGGUAGGGGAGCGUUCUCUGCGGGCUGAAGCGGAACCGAAAGGUUUCGUGGACUGCAGAGAAGUGAUUAUGCUGACAUGAGUAACGAUAAAAUAUGUGAAAAACAUAUUCGCCGUAAAUCCAAGGUUUCCUGGGUAAAGGUAAUCUUCCCAGGGUUAGUCGGACCCUAAGGCCAGGCUGAAAGGCGUAGCUGAUGGGAAACGGGUUAAUAAUCCUGUACUUGUGCGAUUGUGCGAAGAAGGGACGCAGGAUGGUAGACAGGCCGGUUUUUGGAAUCCGGUGCAAGUGCGUAGGCGUGCUCCGCAGGCAAAUCCGCGGAGAUGAGCCGAGACACGAGUCCGUGGGCGCAAGCCCUGAAGCUGUUGAGCCACGGCUGCCAAGAAAAGCUUCUAAGUUUAGAUCGCGCGAACCGUACCGCAAACCAACUCAGGUGGAUGGGAUGAAUAAUCCAAGGCGCUCGAGAGAACUCUGGCCAAGGAACUCGGCAAAUUGACCCCGUAACUUCGGAAUAAGGGGUGCUCCCCACGGUGAGACAAAUUCUUGUUCAGCCCCGGGGAGCCGCAGAGAAAUGGUGGUGGCGACUGUUUACUAAAAACAUAGGUCUGUGCGAAGUCCUAAAGACGACGUAUACGGACUGACGCCUGCCCGGUGCCGGAAGGUUAAAAGGAGGAGUCAGCGCAAGCGAAGCUCCGAAUUGAAGCCCCGGUAAACGGCGGCCGUAACUAUAACGGUCCUAAGGUAGCGAAAUUCCUUGUCGGGUAAGUUCCGACCUGCACGAAUGGCGUAACGAUCUCCACACUGUCUCGGCCAGAGACUCGGUGAAAUUGCAGUCGCGGUGAAAAUUCCGUGUACCCGCAGAAAGACGGAAAGACCCUGUGCACCUUUACUAUAGCUUGACAUUGGGUUUUGAACCUGCAUGUGUAGGAUAGGUGGGAGGCUGUGAAAGCUGUACGCCAGUAUGGCCGGAGCCACCCGUGAAAUACCACCCUUGUUUGUUCAGGACCCUAACUCGCAGCUGUAAUCCAGCGCGAAGACAGUGUCUGGUGGGUAGUUUGACUGGGGCGGUCGCCUCCUAAAGAGUAACGGAGGCAUGCAAAGGUUCCCUCAGGCUGAUUGGAAACCAGCCGUUGAGUGCAAGCGCAUAAGGGAGCUUGACUGCAAGAGAGACAUCUCGAACAGAUACGAAAGUAGGUGCUAGUGAUCCGGUGGUCCCGAAUGGAAGGGCCAUCGCUCAUUGGAUAAAAGGUACGCCGGGGAUAACAGGCUGAUCGCAUCCAAGAGUUCACAUCGACGAUGCGGUUUGGCACCUCGAUGUCGGCUCAUCACAUCCUGGGGCUGAAGCAGGUCCCAAGGGUACGGCUGUUCGCCGUUUAAAGUGGUACGCGAGCUGGGUUUAAAACGUCGUGAGACAGUUUGGUCCCUAUCUUCUGUGGGCG